UUGCAGGGUUGCCCGGAUCUGGCGCAUGGUCCUCUCCAGUUUCCUCAGCUCAUCCAGAUCUUCUCUCCAGUUUCCUCAGCUCAACCAGAUCUUCCCUCCUGGCAAUUGAGUCAUGGAUAGACCACCUUGUGUAAUUCUGUUGAUUUUCUUUGUUUCCUUUUUUUUUCUCCUAAACUCCCUUUCUUUGGUCCUAGGGCUGUAAUCUUUAAGUUUUUUUCAUGUAAUCUCCUUAAUUACUUUGUUGUUUCUUCUCGAACCCUUUUUAUUUAUUUGCUAAUAUAUUUUUCAGUAGAGGCCCCUUGGGUCUCUCAUGUUUCCUAAAAAAAAAGACGCCUAGGAAGGAGGAUAGCUUUUCCCAUGCCCUCCCUAGCGACAGAGACGCAAACAUGUCCCGACACCGUCGUCAGUGGUGGCUCUCCUCAGCUUGUUCUUGCAGUAGGGUGGAGAGUAGCGGAAGAAGAGGAGGGGUAUAGUAUUAGGUAUUACAAGACUCCCCGUCACAUCGAAUCUUGUGGCACAUAUAUGAAAUAUUAAAUAUAGAUAAAAAAAUAACUAAUUACAUAGUUUAUCUGUAAAUCACGAGACGAAUCUUUUAAGCCUAGUUACUCUAUAAUUAGACAAUAUUUGUCAAAUAAAAAUGAAAAUGCUACAGUGUCAAAAUCCAAAAACUUUUUGUAUCUAAACAAGACCUUAGCACUGUUCGCCUAA
rnacentral:lncRNA from 1 species